GGGUUGUGAGGUUAAGCGACUAAGCGUACACGGUGGAUGCCCUGGCAGUCAGAGGCGAUGAAGGGCGUGCUAAUCUGCGAUAAGCGCCGGUAAGGUGAUAUGAACCGUUAUAACCGACGAUACCCGAAUGGGGAAACCCAGUGUGACUCGUCACACUAUCAUUAACUGAAUCCAUAGGUUAAUGAGGCGAACCGGGGGAACUGAAACAUCUAAGUACCCCGAGGAAAAGAAAUCAACCGAGAUUCCCCCAGUAGCGGCGAGCGAACGGGGAGGAGCCCAGAGCCUGAAUCAGCAUGUGUGUUAGUGGAAGCGUCUGGAAAGGCGCGCGAUACAGGGUGACAGCCCCGUACACAAAAGCGCAUGUGCUGUGAGCUCGAUGAGUAGGGCGGGACACGUGGUAUCCUGUCUGAAUAUGGGGGGACCAUCCUCCAAGGCUAAAUACUCCUGACUGACCGAUAGUGAACCAGUACCGUGAGGGAAAGGCGAAAAGAACCCCGGCGAGGGGAGUGAAAAAGAACCUGAAACCGUGUACGUACAAGCAGUGGGAGCCCCACCACUAAGCCAGUGGUGGACUCCACAUACGCAUCCUUUGCUGAAGGCAAUGGUUAACGGAGCGAAAGCGACGUUCAACCGCAAAAGAAGCAGAGGGGGCUUAGUGGUGGGGUGACUGCGUACCUUUUGUAUAAUGGGUCAGCGACUUAUAUUCUGUAGCAAGGUUAACCGUAUAGGGGAGCCGCAGGGAAACCGAGUCUUAACCGGGCGUUAAGUUGCAGGGUAUAGACCCGAAACCCGGUGAUCUAGCCAUGGGCAGGUUGAAGGUUGGGUAACACUAACUGGAGGACCGAACCGACUAAUGUUGAAAAAUUAGCGGAUGACCUGUGGCUGGGGGUGAAAGGCCAAUCAAACCGGGAGAUAGCUGGUUCUCCCCGAAAGCUAUUUAGGUAGCGCCUCGUGAACUCAUCUCCGGGGGUAGAGCACUGUUUCGGCUAGGGGGCCAUCCCGGCUUACCAACCCGAUGCAAACUGCGAAUACCGGAGAAUGUUAUCACGGGAGACACACGGCGGGUGCUAACGUCCGUCGUGAAGAGGGAAACAACCCAGACCGCCAGCUAAGGUCCCAAAGUCAUGGUUAAGUGGGAAACGAUGUGGGAAGGCCCAGACAGCCAGGAUGUUGGCUUAGAAGCAGCCAUCAUUUAAAGAAAGCGUAAUAGCUCACUGGUCGAGUCGGCCUGCGCGGAAGAUGUAACGGGGCUAAACCAUGCACCGAAGCUGCGGCAGCGAACGUAUCACCCAAGACAACUUUACGGAGUUGACGAUUGACGGAGCGAAGCGACGUCAAAGCGUUCAUUAAAGUCGAGUUGGCUUAGGGAUACGUUCGUUGGGUAGGGGAGCGUUCUGUAAGCCUGCGAAGGUGGCCUGUGAGGG
rnacentral:rRNA from 1 species